rnacentral:tRNA from 1 species
CGCGGAAUGGAGCAGUGGUAGCUCGAAGGGUUCAUAGCCCUUAGGUGCGGGGUUCGAAUCCCCCUUCCGCAA